rnacentral:lncRNA from 1 species
GCUGUGUCAACUAUUUAAUUUUAGAUUUAAAAAGUUUGAAGAAGAAAUCUUUAAUUGAUUUGUAAAAUCUUGACAUUUGUUUUGUGUAAAAAAAACACAUGUAAUGUCAAAAAUUUGAUCACAAUCCAAAUUCAGAGCUGUAUCACGCUUGAAUGUUUUGUCCAUACUUGCCCCAACUGUUCAGGGUUCGACCUCUGCGGUCGUAUAAAGCUGCGCCCUGCGGAGCACCUGGUUCUUAUUGUGUUUG